CGACCCCAGGUCAGGCGAGACUACC
rnacentral:rRNA from 1 species